rnacentral:rRNA from 1 species
UGCCGCCUGCCCAGUGAAUAUAUUUUUAACGGCCGCGGUAUCCUAACCGUGCAAAGGUAGCGUAAUCACUUGUCCUCUAAUUAAGGACUAGCAUGAAUGGCUAAAUGAGGGCCCAACUGUCUCGUACGAUUACCCAAUGAACCUGAUCUCCCAGUACAAAAGCUGGGAUACUCACACAAGACGAGAAGACCCUGUGGAACUUUAAUAUCUCUGCCGAUUAGACCUCCAACCAGCCAACAGGUUGCCCAUGCCCCCCCCCCCCAUCGGCAGAAAAUUUAAGUUGGGGCAACUACGGAGCAAAACAAAACCUCCGCGAACCCAGCCCCCAGGUCCACUAACCAGGGGAUAGUAUUUACCUUCGACCCAGUAUUACUGACCACCGAACCAAGCUACCCCAGGGAUAACAGCGCAAUCCCCUUCAAGAGUCCCUAUCGCCAAGGGGGCUUACGACCUCGAUGUUGGAUCAGGGCCCCCCAGUGGUGUAGCCGCUA